GACGAACGCUGGCGGCGUGCUUAACACAUGCAAGUCGAACGGUGAAGCUCCAGCUUGCUGGAGUGGAUCAGUGGCGAACGGGUGAGUAACACGUGAGCAACCUGCCCCUGACUCUGGAAUAAGCGCUGGAAACGGCGUCUAAUACUGGAUACGAGAAGGGUCCGCAUGGGCACUUUCUGGAAAGUUUUUCGGUUGGGGAUGGGCUCGCGGCCUAUCAGCUUGUUGGGGAGGUAAUUGCUCACCAAGGCUACGACGGGUAGCCGGCCUGAGAGGGCUACCGGCCACACUGGGACUGAGACACGGCCCAGACUCCUACGGGAGGCAGCAGUGGGGAAUAUUGCACAAUGGGCGAAAGCCUGAUGCAGCGACGCCGCGUGAGGGAUGACGGCCUUCGGGUUGUAAACCUCUUUCAGAAGGGAAGAAGCGAAAGUGACGGUACCUGCAGAAGAAGCACCGGCUAACUACGUG
rnacentral:rRNA from 1 species